rnacentral:rRNA from 1 species
CGCCGGGCCGCCGCCUCCGUGUGGCGAGUUCCCGUGUGUCCCCGGGACCGCACGUUCACCCCCGCAGUGCUCUUAACUGAGUGUCUGCGGUAGCGGGUGACCGAACGUUUACCUUGACAAAACCGGAGUGCUCGAGGCGUGGGCGUUCGCCGCCCGUACGUCCUCGCUGGGAAUAAUGGAAGAGGACCGUUGGUCAAAAAAGGUUUUUUGUCAGAGAGGUAGGAGAGCAAAAAAGAGGUCGGGCUGGUGGGGGGUUACAAAGGGGGGCGACUCCUUUUCCUCCUCUGGUCUGCCUCUUUCUCCUCCUCGAAACCUUCCUCCCCGCGUACCGCACUGUGGAUCGGCUGGCGCUUUAUGGCGGAAAGGGUGGUUUGAGAAAGAAGGGUGAAAGCAAGUGGCUGUGUGCCAGAAGGUGAAAGCUGGAUGGCCGGUCGUUUGUGGAAGCCUGGAAUCUUUUUCCCCCUCGCUGUCGUGGUGCUUCCGUACCCUUGGUGUCAGCGGGAGGAGGUCGAAAAUCAAAAUAAAAAAACGUGUCAUGAUUAAGAGGGACGGCCGGGGGCAUUCGUACCGCGGCGCGAGAGGUGAAAUUCUAGGACCGUCGCGAGACGAACGAUAGCGAAAGCAUUUGCCAAGAAUGUUUUCCUUAAUCAAGAACGAAAGUCGGAGGUUCGAAGGCGAUCAGAUACCGCCCUAGUUCCGACCUUAAACCAUGCCGUCCGACCGCCCGCCAGGGUUACUACCGCGACUCGGCGGGCGGUGACUUUCCACCGGGAAACCCUUAAGCUUUCGGGUUCCGGGGGAAGUACGGUCGCAAAGCUGAAACUUAAAGGAAUUGACGGAAGGGCACCACCAGGAGUGGAGCCUGCGGCUUAAUUUGACUCAACACGGGGAACCUCACCCGGCCCGGACACCGCGAGGAUUGACAGAUCGAUAGCUCUUUCUCGAUCCGGUGGGUGGUGGUGCAUGGCCGUUCUUAGUUGGUGGAGCGAUCUGUCUGGUUAAUUCCGAUAACGAACGAGACUCUAGCCGGUUAAGUAGCCCGAGUGGCGUGUUGUUGAUUAAAAACCGCCCUAGCGGCACUCGGGGUGCUUCUUGGAAGCUGUCUGGCUUUAACUGUGGUGGGACGGGGAGGUGGAAGACGACGGUUGGAGCCGCGUGUUGUCGCGGCUCGGAUCUAGUUUUUUUUAACUUCCCUUUAAUCCUGUCGCGUUUUGGCCUUUCACUUCUGAGGACCUCUGUUUGCUUUACUAGGGUAGAUAAAACGUUAACGAGAGUCGGGGGCAGUGGACGUUACUCGUGGAAUGGGUGGGCGCUUCUUAAUGGGGCGUCUCCCUUCCCUGUUUCGCUUUUCUGCUUUCCUCGUCAUCUCGCGC